GACGAACGCUGGCGGCGUGCUUAACACAUGCAAGUCGAACGAUGAAGCUGGAGCUUGCUCUAGCGGAUUAGUGGCGAACGGGUGAGUAACACGUGAGCAAUCUGCCCUUGACUCUGGGAUAACUGCGGGAAACUGUAGCUAAUACCGGAUACUUUCACCGGGGGGCAUCCUCUGGUGAUGAAAGAAUUUCGGUCAAGGAUGAGCUCGCGGCCUAUCAGCGUGUUGGUGAGGUAACGGCUCACCAAGGCGACGACGGGUAACCGGCCUGAGAGGGUGACCGGUCACACUGGGACUGAGACACGGCCCAGACUCCUACGGGAGGCAGCAGUGGGGAAUAUUGCACAAUGGGCGCAAGCCUGAUGCAGCAACGCCGCGUGAGGGAUGAAGGCCUUCGGGUUGUAAACCUCUUUUAGUAGGGACGAAGCGAAAGUGACGGUACCUAAAGAAGAAGCACCGGCUAACUACGUGCCAGCCGCCGCGGUAA
rnacentral:rRNA from 1 species